GUCGUGGUAGCCAAGUGGCCCAAGGCGCAUGGUUGCUAACCAUGUGGCGUAAUGCCUCCGGGGUUCGAAUCCCCGCCACGACG
rnacentral:tRNA from 2 species